rnacentral:rRNA from 1 species
GAUGAACGCUGGCGGCGUGCCUAAUACAUGCAAGUCGAACGCGCAGCAAAAGGUGCUUGCACCUUUCAAGCGAGUGGCGAACGGGUGAGUAACACGUGGAUAACCUGCCUCAAGGCUGGGGAUAACAUUUGGAAACAGAUGCUAAUACCGAAUAAAACUUAGUAUCGCAUGAUACAAAGUUAAAAGGCGCUACGGCGUCACCUAGAGAUGGAUCCGCGGUGCAUUAGUUAGUUGGUGGGGUAAAGGCUUACCAAGACGAUGAUGCAUAGCCGAGUUGAGAGACUGAUCGGCCACAUUGGGACUGAGACACGGCCCAAACUCCUACGGGAGGCUGCAGUAGGGAAUCUUCCACAAUGGGCGCAAGCCUGAUGGAGCAACGCCGCGUGUGUGAUGAAGGCUUUCGGGUCGUAAAGCACUGUUGUAUGGGAAGAAAUGCUAAAAUAGGGAAUGAUUUUAGUUUGACGGUACCAUACCAGAAAGGGACGGCUAAAUACGUGCCAGCAGCCGCCGUAACAC